GUCCACGCCCUAAACGUUGGGCACUAGGUGUGGGAGGUAUUGACCCCUUCCGUGCCGCAGCUAACGCGAUAAGUGCCCCGCCUGGGGAGUACGGCCGCAAGGCUAAAACUCAAAGGAAUUGACGGGGGCCCGCACAAGCAGCGGAGCGUGUGGUUCAAUUCGAUGAUACGCGAAGAACCUUACCAGGGUUUGACAUGCUGGUGGUACCUGACCGAAAGGAAGGGGACCCUUCGGGGAGCCAGUGCAGGUGUUGCAUGGCUGUCGU
rnacentral:rRNA from 1 species